GGCCCUGAACAAAGGGCUCCUCUCUGACCUAGAGCGAAGGCCUGCCCUGCUGCCUCCCAAGCUCUGGUGACAGGGGCUGGAAGGGUGUCCUUCCUGUCCCUGCACCCUGUCCCAGACACUGGAGGAACUCAGUGUGUGCUGACAAGCAUGGGGGAGGUCCUAACCCUGAGUGUUGUGGGGGUAAAAGGGACCAAAGAGCCCCAGGAGCAGGUAACGCCUCCUCUGCUGCCUGUUUGCUGGGAACACCUCCACUCCCCGCUUCCACCCCAGCCCGGGCACAGGGUCCCGGUCACUCCGUCCUCAGGACUCCAACGGCCUCAGUGCAAACUCCCACUUCCUCAGCACCAGUUCAGUGUCCUGCGCCGAGACGUCACGGUGCCACACGGCAAGCAUGGACUGCUCUGUCCAUAGGAACAGCGGCAUGCACGCCACGUGUCCAGUGUGGGCCACCUCGUCAGCACUCACGGCCCGCAGCCCAGCCGUGCUCACCAUUGCCAUGUUCGUCUCCACGAAGGUGGGAUAAACUGAACAGAUGGACAACACCAGCUCCUGGAGUCCUGGGCCAGGUCCUGAGGUCCCAGCCUGGUGCCUGGGAAGUGGGUUUGCCCUUGAGCAGCCUGCGCUGGCUGGAGGAUGCCCAGGGCCCCAGGUGAACAAUGCCUGCUCCUUACCUGAGCCGCCCCACCCUGCUCAUAGACGUGGAGGUGGCACUCCUGCCCAAGGAGGAGCUGGGAGCCCCGGCGCCGGCAGUGACACAUCACUGAGACAGAAGGAGGGCAGGUCUUGGCAUUGA
rnacentral:lncRNA from 1 species